AUUGAACGCUAGCGGGAUGCUUUACACAUGCAAGUCGAACGGCAGCGCGGACUUCGGUCUGGCGGCGAGUGGCGAGCGGGUGAGUAAUGUAUCGGAACGUGCCCAGUAGCGGGGGAUAACUACGCGAAAGCGUAGCUAAUACCGCAUACGCCCUACGGGGGAAAGCAGGGGAUCGUAAGACCUUGCACUAUUGGAGCGGCCGAUAUCGGAUUAGCUAGUUGGUGAGGUAACGGCUCACCAAGGCGACGAUCCGUAGCUGGUUUGAGAGGACGACCAGCCACACUUGGACUGAGACACGGCCCAGACUCCUACGGGAGGCAGCAGUGGGGAAUUUUGGACAAUGGGGGCAACCCUGAUCCAGCCAUCCCGCGUGUGCGAUGAAGGCCUUCGGGUUGUAAAGCACUUUUGGCAGGAAAGAAACGUCGCGGGCUAAUACCCCGUGGAACUGACGGUACCUGCAGAAUAAGCACCGGCUAACUACGUG
rnacentral:rRNA from 1 species